rnacentral:rRNA from 1 species
GACGAACGCUGGCGGCGUGCUUAACACAUGCAAGUCGAACGGAAAGGCCCUGCUUUUGUGGGGUGCUCGAGUGGCGAACGGGUGAGUAACACGUGAGUAACCUGCCCUUGACUUUGGGAUAACUUCAGGAAACUGGGGCUAAUACCGGAUAGGAGCUCCUGCUGCAUGGUGGGGGUUGGAAAGUUUCGGCGGUUGGGGAUGGACUCGCGGCUUAUCAGCUUGUUGGUGGGGUAGUGGCUUACCAAGGCUUUGACGGGUAGCCGGCCUGAGAGGGUGACCGGCCAAAUUGGGACUGAGAUACGGCCCAUACUCCUACGGGAGGAAGCAGUGGGGAAUAUUGCACAAUGGGCGGAAGCCUGAUGCAGCAACGCCGCGUGCGGGAUGACGGCCUUCGGGUUGUAAACCGCUUUCGCCUGUGACGAAGCGUGAGUGACGGUAAUGGGUAAAGAAGCACCGGCUAAAUACGUG